GCAAAUGUGAUGACUGUUAACAGUUGGGGAAUCUGGGUAAAGGGUAUAAAGGAAUUUGUACUCUUCUUGCAAUCUUUCCAUAAGUGUGAGAUUUUGUCAAAAAAUGAAGUUUAAAAACUCAGAAGCCUCCGGCUCAUGGUGCUGCAGCCAGUCUAGCAUCAGGGCCUCGGUGGGGCUUCUCAGUGCCCGCCCUUCCGGUGGUCGGUUCUGAAGUCAUUUCCCACAACCCGAGCUCUCUCCAGAACAGGCUCUGCUUCCUCUGGCAGCGGCAGAAAGCAGGGUGGGCAACCACUGACAGUGUGGCUUCAGCUGCCGGGAAGGUUUCUUUCUUCAGCUGCCUGUGGCGGCGGUGGCUGCUGUUCAAGACCACUCCUGCUGAUUGUCCUCAGUGUGCUAGGUUCCAGGCUCCCCUGUGCCCACAUGGCUGAUGGCCCUGUGGGACUCUACACAUGGACUAAUACGCUUUAAUCCACUUGGAUGCUGAACUACACUCUACUGUAACAUGGAAGCUCUGGACGCUGGGUGCCCCUGGAACCCCAGCCGCACCUUUUCCAGGAUUGGCUUCUAUCAAUAAACUUUGCUCCCGCUAA